CAAGUCUUGACAUCGGAAUGACCGUCUCGUAACGGAGACUUCCCUUCGGGGCAUUCCAGACAGGUGGUGCAUGGUUGUCGUCAGCUCGUGUCGUGAGAUGUUGGGUUAAGUCCCGCAACGAGCGCAACCCUUAUCCUUAGUAGCCAGCAGUUCGGCUGGGCACUCUGGGGAGACUGCCAGGGAUAACCUGGAGGAAGGUGGGGAUGACCUCAAAUCAUCAUGCCCCUUAUGAUUCGGGCUCCACACGUCAUACAAUGGCGUAAACAAAGGGAAGCAAAGGAGCGAUCAGAGCAAAUCCCAAAAAUAACGUCUCAGUUCGGAUUGUAGUCUGCAACUGGACUACAUGAAGCCGGAAUCGCUUGUAAUAGCAGAUCAGAAUGCGGACACAAAGCGUCCG
rnacentral:rRNA from 1 species